GCCAGUAUGCUGCAGUGGUUUGAGCAUUGGACUAUGACUCUGUAGACCAGGGUUCAAUUCCCCACUCAGCCA